rnacentral:rRNA from 1 species
UACAGAGGGUGCAAGCGUUAUCCGGAUUCACUGGGUUUAAAGGGUGCGUAGGUGGGCAAGUAAGUCAGUGGUGAAAUCUCCGGGCUUAACCCGGAAACUGCCAUUGAUACUAUUUGUCUUGAAUACUGUGGAGGUCAGCGGAAUAUGUCAUGUAGCGGUGAAAUGCUUAGAUAUGACAUAGAACACCAAUUGCGAAGGCAGCUGGCUACACAAAUAUUGACACUGAGGCACGAAAGCGUGGGGAUCAAACAGG